rnacentral:rRNA from 1 species
GAUGAACGCUGACAGAAUGCUUAACACAUGCAAGUCAACUGUGGCGGACGGGUGAGUAACGCGUAAAGAACUUGCCUCACAGAUAGGGACAACAUUUGGAAACGAAUGCUAAUAACUGAUACCGUGAGUGAGCUUUGCGUCCAAUUAGCUAGUUGGAGAGGUAACGGCUCACCAAGGCGAUGAUGGGUAGCCGGCCUGAGAGGGUGAUCGGCCACAAGGGGACUGGGGCACGGCCCUUGCUCCUGCGGGAGGCAGCGGUGGGGCAUAUUGGCCAAUGGGCCGAAGUCUGAUCCAGCAAUUCUGUGUGCAAGGUGAAGUUUUCGGGAUGUAGGGUGCUUUCAGUUGGGAAGCGGUACCAGCAGAAGAAGUGACGGCUAAGUACGUGCCAGCCGCCGCGGUAAUAC